CACAGAUCAUUACGCCAUAUGUUAUACAUGUACACUGUAGGAUUUAAAACUACAUCGAACCCGUACGUUAUCUUACAUUUAUAUGUAUCAUAUAAAAGAUCAGACUGCAGUGAAGUCGAAGCCCAUUAUACGUACACGAAUAUCCUAAAAUGAAAACACGUCUAUUUGGAUACAAUUUACAACCACAUCGUACCCCAGGGUAUUGUACAUAACCGACUUGUCAGUUUUGACGCAUACGAUCUCCUAAACAGUGAUUCAACAAAAGGAAGGAAAUUGCACCUUAAUUGUACAAGAAAGCUAAGAUGAUGAGCUGACUUACCGCAGGAAAGACUAGAGUUUAAUAACGUUGAGAAUGGCCUCGGGUUCUGGAGGAGACAAGAAAGAUGAGCUGACUUACUGCAGGAAAGACUAGUUUUGAUAACGCUGAGAAUGGCGUCGGGUUCAGGAGGAGAUAGGAAACGGGUACGACUGGAUAGAACACCACAACGUAAGUAAUAACUUUACGAAUGUUCGUGUUGACCUCCUGCUCCACCUGUUUAAAUUUUAUUGGGAAACUACACA